rnacentral:rRNA from 1 species
AGAGUUUGAUCCUGGCUCAGAAUCAACGCUGGCGGCGUGCCUAACACAUGCAAGUCGAACGAGAAAGUGGAGCAAUCCAUGAGUAAAGUGGCGACCGGGUGAGUAACACGUGACUAACCUACCUCCGAAUGGGGAAUAACUCCGGGAAACCGGGGCUAAUACCGCAUAACACCGCAAGGUCAAAGCAGCAAUGCGUUUGGAGAGGGGGUCGCGGCUGAUUAGCUAGUUGGCGGGGUAACGGCCCACCAAGGCGAAGAUCGGUAUCCGGCCUGAGAGGGCGCACGGACACACUGGAACUGAAACACGGUCCAGACUCCUACGGGAGGCAGCAGUGGGGAAUUUUGCGCAAUGGGGGAAACCCUGACGCAGCAACGCCGCGUGGAGGAUGAAGCCCUUUGG